UUCUGGGAACUGUGGGUGUCAUUUCCCUGCACCUUUACCAAUGCAGUGUAAAAGAAACAGGCUGUUUCUUUUUUUGUUAAUCGUGUUUUUUAAUUAAAAUGCAUGUAGGUGAACAACACGAUCUAUCGACCCUGAGGCCAGUGGGACAGGCAGCCGAUCUGAUCCGCCGCUUAUGGCAACUAAAUCAACGAGUCUGAUAGUUUACUCAAUGCAAUAUUCACGGUAGAUGGCAAUUUCCCCAGCAAAAGCACUGCCUUAGGGGAAAUGGCUUAGAAUGGUACGUGACUUUAUAGCCACAGGCCCAUCGCGUCGAAUUUACCAUGGUAUCCCUUCCAUGCAGCAAUGAAGGAAACGAACGAGAGGGAAGGAUCCUGAGCUACAGCAUGCAGUGAACAGUGAAAUUAUCUUAGGAAUACUUAUUUUGAGAUUUUUUGAUAUUCAGAAGUGGUCUCUGUCUUCUACAAGAUAAUUUCAUCGAGAUACAGGUCAUAUAGGAACCCUGAGCUGUGGCAAAUCGACGGCCCAUCGACCAGAGGCGCCUGGGGGAGCUGGUGUUUUGCUGAGAGUCAGAACAGGAAUUCCAUUGUGCCCGGAAGGUUGGCGCGCCGCUGCAAUGGCCGACCCUCGCCGACACUCGCCGCUAGCCUUUUACGCCGGCAGAGGUCACCGCUGUGAGGCUCCGCGGCUAAAACCAGACGGGUCUGGGGGCCUCACCUUUUCCGUCAGCGGAUAAUCGAAGCGGCGCCGCGUCCGUCUGAUUAACGGCUGCGCUGAAACGAUGCUAAUGUAGCCCGGCUAGCGCGCGCUAAAAGCCGAAGGACACCUCUGUGUGUGGUUUUGUGUUUUGCUGUUUGCAGAAUGGGCACCUUUGUCUUCAUCUCCUUUAACCUUGAAUGGUUUCCCACCAGGCUGGCAAGUGUUUACACUUGUGCGCUGCACAGAACAGCAGAGAAAUCCCCCCCCCCUUAGUAUAUGGCAGAACGCACAAGGACUGAAAAAUGUCAAGCCAUUGAUUUACCCCAUGUUUCGCUAUGCAUAACGCUUGCCGGCUGAAAUUUAUGGACAAAACGGUACUCUCUCUCUCUCUCUCUCUUUCUCUCUCUGUCUCUCUCUCGCUCUCUCUCUUUUUUAUGGUCGAUUCCUCCAGGUGUUGUUUCUGGUUAUCACAGUGUUUUCUUGCUGAUUCCUGCACUUCUUUUUGCUAUGUUGGUUUAUUCUGCUCAACGGACUAAACAGCUUCUUGUAAGAAUUUCUGGGUUUUCCUGGAAGACGCGCAUGCCGGGGGUGCAUUAAUUACCAUGAAGAGGGAGGUUUAUUGCAAGUUUAUUUAUUCAUGAUGUGGCUUAAGUCGAGUCGGGGAAUAAACGAGAGCAGUAAAUAUACAUUUAAUUAAAAGUGGCCUCAAUACUGACCCCUUCCAGAAACACACACACAUUUCCAUUCCCUUUCCGCGUGUCACUCACUCAUGCUGUUCACUGGAUGCUGUUAGGCUGAAGGUCACUGACUGGUCGCAGCCUGGUCAUGUGAUAACAGCAUUCUGAGCUACACAACCUCAUUAGUUUUUGGCCGCACAUGCAGCGUGACAAGAGCUCAUGUGCAAUAUCUACAAUGUGACAACUGCUUAUUAUGGAUUAGCUGUUAACCAAUUCAUUAGCUAUUAGUUAUUAAAAUAAUUAUGUCUUAUUUGAUUAUUAUGGGCAAAUCAAACAGACAUUUUACUUAUAAGGGUUCCUAUUUACAAUCGAAUCAAAUGCAGAAUCGAAUUCAGUGAUAUGGAUUGACAUUUGACUAAGAGCCAGGGAUCUCAAUGGCUUUAUAGAUCUUUGGAAAAUUUCAACAGUUUUUAUAUAGGAACUAAUUCCACUGAGAUGAUUUGUUGUGUUCCUAGAUCAAUUCAGAUUAAGUGUUAUUGAGGUUAUGACUGCCAUUUACUCAAAACCUUUUGGCUGUCUAGCUAAGCCUUACUGCUUAGAUUAUUAAAAUAUAUUCCAUAGAAGGAAGCAACAAUAGAUGUUGAUGCAAGCUCUCGGUUGUUUGUCUGUGAUAUAUCUCCCAAGACCCAGGCAGGAGGACUUUCUUCCUUUCCUGAUCUCGGCAGAUUUAGGGGUGUGUUUUUUGGAAAGCCGAGUCAAGAGGCAAGGACUGUGGUAGGUAGGUCCAACGGCAGCCUGAUGCCAAGCCGAAUACGUCAAAGGGCGGCCAUUAUGAGAUUUUCCAUCUGUAACGGCUUAGGGCACAUACAUCACAUCCUUGUGAGGAAUGCCAGUGUUUCACUCGCUCACAUGUGUGAGAAACUCCAUCACUACCCUUAGCUCUUCAUGGCGUCGGAAAGUUUGGUUUCUAUGGUAGCAGGGCAGGGGGUGGGAAAGGGGAGGUGAAUAAGUAUGGCGACCAACCACUGAGUGUCUGCCAGUAUUGGGACAUUCUAGAAGAGGGAGGACUAGUUGCCAUGGAUACCGUAAGUGGUACGUGGGACCAUUAUGAUGGAAAGUUUGGCACAAGUUCUCCACAGCAACGGGCCGCACAGCCCCAAAGUUGUCCUGACUCAUUGAACAGCUUUCUUUGAUUUAGACAUACAGGGCUUCAGCUCCUUGUUCUUUGUAAUUGCAGAGUUCUGGGAACACAGCAUAUUUUAAAGGGAAAUAAAUUAAGGCUUCAUAUUACAUUUGAAGCCAGCUGCGUUAAUGAAUCACUUCUAAGGCAUUAACAGAAACAGAAAAAAAAAGUGACUGACAAUUCUGUUUCUUGGACUCCUAUAAUAUAUUAAAGGGCACUUUUACUCUUUAGCAUGCAGUUGUCUAACAACUUUUCUGCCAGGAAUUAGAAGUCCUUUUCCAACUCUAUUUUUUACCCUUUUAUUUAAAGCCAUUAUUUGGAGGGGGGAGGGGAUAUAUGUGAAGUUACUCUCUGGAAUCCGGAUCACUCUUUAUUUUUUCUCCUUGACAGGUAUUUUUAAACCUGUUUGCGUAAGAUGACUGAAAGCCUUGACGUAGUUUUAUUUCUGAGCUCAUUAAUGUUGACAGGGGAGACGUGUUAGGUGACCGAGAGUCAGUUAGAAGGAGAAUCGAGGCAUGGGGACCGUUGUAAACUUUGUUAUUUAUAUUCUUUAUUGCACUUUUUUUGUCCGUUCUGAAUGUAUUUCCUUACAUUUGAUGCGACAGCAAAAAUGUUUUAAUGAUUUUUUUUUUGUUUGAUGAUUAUGAGGAUGAUUUGAUGAAUGCUUGUGAUAUAUCCAUGAUCUCACCACAUGGGAUCCCUCGUUCGCAUCAAGGACUAAGAAACCAGUCUCCGGGAAAACGAUUGCGCAGUUUUACAAUAUGAUUUACUGAAGGGCAACAUAUAGCAAGACUGUAUGUAACAUAAAUAGCCCCUGCGGUUCUCCUUCUGGGCGGGAUUGCAGGCAGAGCCAUGUGACAGAGGGAAGCGUGGAUGGAGCAGGUAUUUUGGGACAGGAGUAGCAAAAGCAGCAGGGAGGAGGAGGAGAAGGGAAACCGACACACAAGAUCAGCCCUGGAGCUGCUAAUGCGGACUGGAUCCGACAUCUGGGCGUAGCCAUGUUUACUGAGGGCAAGAGAAAACAAGCCCUGUUACAUUUAAUGCAUAUUUGGGACUGAUUAAAUAAAUGAUUCGGCUUGUAACUGGACUGUGACUCACCUCACAGUGCAGUUUUUCCCCCCCCGCCUUGUUAUGGGCUCCUCUCAGCAAGUCGCUUAGUGUUUAUGACAAGGUGGGGCACUCGUCACCACCUCUUAUAAGAUACUGGCAUGUGAUCAUGUGACUCUCUUUUAGAUGUCACAUGACCAUUCUCUGGUAUUGUUCAUUUUCUAGUAUUAGUAAACCAUAGAUGCACCAUUUCCGGUGAGAGAAAGUCACAGAGAUGGCCGCAACCUCUCCUACUCCACAGAACCCUAUGCUAAUGGCGGACGUGUCACCUGUUUCGUUUCAUUGCAGUUUGUAAUUGAACCGAAGCAGCAGCGCGGUUCUGUGGGAGUCGCCGGCGGAGUGGGGAACGCCGGCCCCCAGCUUCCGCAUUCACCGGGACACACUGGUUGAAGGAUGUAGCUGUUUAUCAGAGCUGACAGAAUUUAUUGCCAAGCCCUGGAACCAGUGUAUUAACAGCAUGGAGAAAGAAAACUGACAACACAGCUGGAAUUUCAUUGGUCGAGCCGUGUGGGACACAGACUGAGGUCGACUGCAACUCCUCCCAGCAGCGUAAACCGCACACCUGUGCAUGCCACCGGCUCCGGGGGAAGGGGGGGGGGACUCAAGAAUUCUGGAGGAGGAUGCCAGUAGCUUUGGUUCUGGUUUUGGUUUUGCUGAUUCAUGCGUGUGCAAAUUUCCAGUGGUGUAUAUAUAAGCACAGAGCACAGCCAGUCAGGCUCCUGAGGACCAACUAAAGACAGUUUUCUGAUGCAGCUUGGUCUAUGUCAUGCCGUAUACCUUUAUCAUUGAAUCACUAUGGUAGUGAAAGAGACAAAGCGAAAAAUGUAAAGUGAUGAAGAACUGUGUAUAUAUAUAUAUAUAUCCAUCCAUCCAUCCAUUUUCCAAACCGCUUAUCCUACUGGGUCGCGGGGGGUCCGGAGCCUAUCCCGGAAGCAAUGGGCACGA